AUAGGAGUGUAGGAACAGUGAGAUAAAGAGGAAGGAAAACCACGCCCACAUUCACUAUGUUAUUGUCACGACUGCUAGUGUGGUCCAACACGCAGAAACUAUGUAAACAUAUACAUAAAAAAGGAAAGGAAAUAAAAGGACAGAGAGUAAACCGGACCUUAGAAUGGCCGGACUAAUAUGCUAUUGAUAGAGAAUGGUCGAAGGGAAAGCCGAGGUCAAGGAAGCCAGAAAUACUCAGAUACCGUUGAAAC